GAGUCCAUGGCCCAAUGGAUAAGGUUCUGGUCUACAAAACCAAAGAAUCUGGGUUCGAUAACGAGUGGAGUCG
rfam:Ipomoea nil DNA, scaffold: scaffold0415, cultivar: Tokyo-kokei standard.